UACGAAGGGGGCUAGCGUUGCUCGGAAUCACUGGGCGUAAAGGGCGCGUAGGCGGCCAUUUAAGUCGGGGGUGAAAGCCUGUGGCUCAACCACAGAAUUGCCUUCGAUACUGGAUGGCUUGAGACCGGAAGAGGUAAGUGGAACUGCGAGUGUAGAGGUGAAAUUCGUAGAUAUUCGCAAGAACACCAGUGGCGAAGGCGGCUUACUGGUCCGGAUCUGACGCUGAGGCGCGAAAGCGUGGGGAGCAAAUAGG
rnacentral:rRNA from 1 species